GCCAGGCACAGUGGCGCGUGCCUGUAGUCCCAGCUGCUUGGGAGGUUGAGGCUGGAGGAUCACUUGAGUCCAGGAGUUCUGGGCUGUAGUGAGCUAUGCCGAUGGGGUGUCGCACUAAGUUCAGCAUCAAUAUGGUGACCUCCCGGGAGCGGUGGAUCACCAGUUGCUUAAAGAGGAGUGAACCGGCCCAAGUCUGAAACGGAGCAGGUCAAAGCUCCGUGCUGAUCAUUAGUGGGAUUGCGCCUGUGAAUAGCCACUGCACUCCAGCCUGGGCUACAUAGCGAGACCCCAUCUCU
rnacentral:SRP_RNA from 1 species